rnacentral:lncRNA from 1 species
AGACCCUGAAGGGACAGACCCAGCUAAUGAUGACCAUGAGUGGAUGUCCAGCCCAGCAGUCAGAACGUGGUAUCCAAAAGUUAUGGCCAUAAACAACAGAAAGACCAAGUCAAUAACAGGAAAAUGCAACCUAAGACUUCGAGAUGAUCUAAUGCAUUCCACCAUGGAGCUGCACAUGUACAAGGGCCAAAAUCUGGAGAAGUUGAAAGCUGGAUCUGUUGGACCCAGAUAUUAACCCAUGGAGAUAGAGCUGGAAUUGCUACUGGUCUGGUUGCUGGCUCCUUUAACAAGGUGAGGCAGCAUGACAAUGUAUGUGAGCUGCAAUGGUGCCUGACCCUGCACCAGUCUUCCAAGCCUAAGCAUGAUUGCUGCUACUAUUCCACCAUCCAAAUCUCAUGCAAUUUUUUUAUGGUUCUCAUUAGCUCAGACGCAUGCAGGGAGGCGGGGUCUGGGAAAUGUAAAGUCCAG